GUGAAUCAUCGAGUCUUUGAACGCACAUUGCGCUCCUUGGUAUUCCGAGGAGCAUAUCUGUUCGAGCGUCAUAUCUCUCUCAAGUCCACGCUUUGCCGCGGGGGACUUGGUGCUGAGCUCGGAGAGCUGAGAAGCUUCCGGCUCCAAUUUCGCACGCUUGCGGUCCCUGUUGAACCUCAGACAUGAUAAACUUGACUGUUUGUUGCGUUCACGACAGCGGAUUCGCCACCGGAAACCCCUCCAAAAGUUUGACCUCGGAUCAGUAAGGAUACCCGCUGAACUUAAGCAUAUCAAUAAGCGGAGG
rnacentral:rRNA from 1 species